rnacentral:rRNA from 1 species
CCUACGGGUGGCAGCAGUGAGGAAUAUUGGUCAAUGGGCGCGAGCCUGAACCAGCCAAGUAGCGUGAAGGAUGACUGCCCUACGGGUUGUAAACUUCUUUUAUAAAGGAAUAAAGUGAGGCACGUGUGCCUUUUUGUAUGUACUUUAUGAAUAAGGAUCGGCUAACUCCGUGCCAGCAGCCGCGGUAAUACGGAGGAUCCGAUCGUUAUCCGGAUUUAUUGGGUUUAAAGGGAGCGAAGAUGGGUUGUUAAGUCAGUUGUGAAAGUUUGCGGCUCAACCGUAAAAUUGCAAUUGAUACUGGCAGUCUUGAGUACAGUUGAGGGAGGAGGAAUGCGGGGUGUAGCGGGGAAAUCUUUAGAUAUAACGAAGAACCCCGAUGGCGAAGGCAGCUUACUAAACUGUGACUGACAUUGAUGCUCGAAAGUGUGGGUAUCAAACAGGAUUAGAUACCCGGGUAGUC